ACGGCCCGCGGGACAGAUCCGGCCCGCCACGUCAUUUUAUGUGGCCCGCAAGAGCUUAAACGACUGUACGAUUGUUGUGAUGGAUCGAGUCGUUACAGAGACGCGCUUAUAAUUUAAUGGGAGUCCUGCGCCUUUAAGUGCAACUGGCGACAUCGUAGUCAUGGCAACUAACUUUGACCUCGCUAAGAAGCCAUGUGACUUUUACUGCAAAAGAACGCGAAGUAGCGUAGUCAGUAACGUAAACAAUAAUAAAUAAAUACAGAUAAUUAUCUUGCAAUAUAAUACCAAAGCAUCGUCUGCAUUCUGAUGGAAACCUGUUUACCCGCCGAGGUUAAGGAUUAAAGUCGAGACUGCCGUGACAACUAUGCUGCUCCUGCCGGAUGUGACGGGUCUGGAGUAAUUGCAUUAAGAAUGACAAGAAAUCACUACAGACUUUAUUGAAGACUAGAGCGAAGAACAACUCUAUUAUUAUUUAUCUAUUUAUCACCAGUUAUAACUUUUAGAUCAUUUAAUUCUGUGUUUGUAUGCUCUGUGUAAAUCGUGUAUUUAUUUAAAGUAUCCUCCAGGCCACCCAAGAAGGAUGGACCCUGCUGAGUCUGGUUCCUCUCAAGGUUUCUUCCUGUAAUUUUCAGGGAGUUUUUCCUUGCCACAGUCGCCCUCGGCUUGCUCAACAGGGGUUUUUUGUAUCUGUUGGUCCUGGAUUUUGUAAAGUUGCUUUGAGACAAUGUCUAUUGUAAAAAGCGCUAUAUAAAUAAAGUUGACUUGACUGUUAAAGCCUUCAUGGCUGUGUUACCUCCUAGUUCUCCCAUUUGGAUAUGCUGAAAUAUUUAGGGGUGCUGGACUCUUAUGCUAUUUACUGCAUAACUGACAUCUUAUUAUUAAUAAGUUUAUCUCACAUUUUUGCUACUUUUUAGAUGAUUGUGUCAGGAACCUUUUUACCCAUCUGAGGCUGAAGCCUGCAAGUUUGAUACUACCAUGCCAACAGUGCUGCUCCUGCUAUAUAUGAUGUAAUUCUGCCAUGUCUACACUUAAAUGUACUCACUGUUAGAGUUAACCACAGACUGGACUAAAUAAUUCUUUUAUUUUACUGGUUAUAAAUUUUGUUUUAUUAUUUUGUGUAUGUGUGGCUGAAUGAUGUAAAGUUGCUUUAAGACAAUGUCUAUUGUAAAAAGCGAUAUAAAGAUUUGACCUGA